rnacentral:rRNA from 1 species
GCCGCGUGUAUGAAGAAGGCCUUCGGGUUGUAAAGUACUUUCAGUUGUGAGGAAGGGUGUGUAGUUAAUAGCUGCACAUCUUGACGUUAGCAACAGAAGAAGCACCGGCUAACUCCGUGCCAGCAGCCGCGGUAAUACGGAGGGUGCGAGCGUUAAUCGGAAUUACUGGGCGUAAAGCGCAUGCAGGUGGUUCAUUAAGUCAGAUGUGAAAGCCCGGGGCUCAACCUCGGAACUGCAUUUGAAACUGGUGAACUAGAGUACUGUAGAGGGGGGUAGAAUUUCAGGUGUAGCGGUGAAAUGCGUAGAGAUCUGAAGGAAUACCAGUGGCGAAGGCGGCCCCCUGGACAGAUACUGACACUCAGAUGCGAAAGCGUGGGGAGCAAACAGGAUUAGAUACCCUGGUAGUCCACGCCGUAAACGAUGUCUACUUGGAGGUUGUGGCCUUGAGCCGUGGCUUUCGGAGCUAACGCGUUAAGUAGACCGCCUGGGGAGUACGGUCGCAAGAUUAAAACUCAAAUGAAUUGACGGGGGCCCGCACAAGCGGUGGAGCAUGUGGUUUAAUUCGAUGCAACGCGAAGAACCUUACCUACUCUUGACAUCCAGAGAAGCCAGCGGAGACGCAGGUGUGCCUUCGGGAGCUCUGAGACAGGUGCUGCAUGGCUGUCGUCAGCUCGUGUUGUGAAAUGUUGGGUUAAGUCCCGCAACGAGCGCAACCCUUAUCCUUGUUUGCCAGC